UACAGAGGGUGCAAGCGUUGUUCGGAAUUAUUGGGCGUAAAGCGCGCGUAGGCGGUUUGAUAAGCCGGGUGUGAAACCUCCAAGCUCAACUUGGAGCGGCCACUCGGAACUGUCAUGACUUGAGUCAGGUAGGGGAACACGGAAUUCCAGGUGUAGCGGUGAAAUGCUUAGAGAUCCGGAGGAACACCAGUGGCGAAGGCGACACGCUGGGCCGUACCUGACACUGAUGCGCGACAGCAUGGGGAGCAAACAGG
rnacentral:rRNA from 1 species